GGGCCCGCACAAGCGGUGGAGCAUGUGGUUUAAUUCGACGCAACGCGAAGAACCUUACCUACACUUGACAUCCUCGGAACUUUCUAGAGAUAGAUUGGUGCCUUCGGGAACCGAGUGACAGGUGCUGCAUGGCUGUCGUCAGCUCGUGUCGUGAGAUGUUGGGUUAAGUCCCGUAACGAGCGCAACCCUUAUCCUUAAUUGCCAGCGGUUAGGCCGGGAACUCUAAGGAGACUGCCGAUGACAAAUCGGAGGAAGGUGGGGACGACGUCAAGUCAUCAUGGCCCUUACGUGUAGGGCUACACACGUGCUACAAUGGCCGGUACAAACGGUUGCGAACCCGCGAGGGAAGCUAAUCCGAGAAAGCCGGUCGUAGUCCGGAUUGGGGUCUGCAACUCGACCCCAUGAAGUCGGAAUCGCUAGUAAUCGUGAAU
rnacentral:rRNA from 1 species